rnacentral:rRNA from 1 species
UACAGAGGGUGCGAGCGUUAAUCGGAAUUACUGGGCGUAAAGCGCGCGUAGGCGGCUUUGCAAGUCGGGUGUGAAAUCCCCAGGCUUAACCUGGGAACUGCAUUCGAGACUGCAUUGCUAGAGUAUGGGAGAGGGAGGUGGAAUUUCCGGUGUAGCGGUGAAAUGCGUAGAUAUCGGAAGGAACAUCAGUGGCGAAAGCGACUUCCUGGACCAAUACUGACGCUCAUGUGCGAAAGCGUGGGGAGCAAACAGG